CGAGCCCGCUUACAAAGAUCCGAAAUUUUGAACUUGAGCUUCAAGCUCCUAAUGGCUUUUUUUUUUUUUUUUUACCUUCAAACUGUCCAUAUUUCAUUGCUAUUGGAGAAGAGUUAUAUAUGAUGAUGGAGGACUAGGCCUUGCCUUUUUGGACACUUGUACAAUUUGGGCAAAAUCAUGCACAUCAGUGCCAUCCUAAGACAACUUAAGGAGGGUCAAAACAAAUCAUGCUCGGUUUCUUCUUCUUGACUCUAAAAACAGGAAAUUGCCAUCUAUCCAUGUUAAGGAGGCCCUUGAUUUGUCCUGGCAAAGAGUUUGAGUCAGAGAAUCAGUUUCAGCAAUAAUGAGGUUAUGUCCAUUGUCGAUACACAAUCUGAGGCCAAACAGGAAUGCAUCUGCCUCUGCAGUGUUGCUGGUACCUUUUCCUAGUGGAAGAAUAAAUGCCAUGAUGCAUUUACCCAUAGACUCCCUAACCACUCCACCCCCUCCACUAGUUUCUCCAACACAAGAAUCAUCAGAGUUCAUUUUGACAAAUAGAAUGGGGGGUUUGAGCCAUUUGACUGGGAUGAUAGUACUGUCCACGAACUUUGCUUCCAUGAGUUUGAGUAAACUGGUCCAGCAUUCAGGAAUUUCAAGCCUUGGGAAGGUUUUCUUGUUAACUGACUAAUGUUGAAAAAGAUAAGGGAUAUAGAUCUUCUGGUAGAGGGUUUUUCAUAUGUCUUCAUAUUUUGAAUUACACCUUGAUCUCCAAAGUUCCCACAUAAUGAUUGGUGGAAGGAUCUUCAAAAUGUAAACAGCAACUGGAUUGUUGGUUGAACAGUUUCAGCAUCUUUGAAGUA